AUUUUGAGUACUUCUUUUUCUAGCUUGUAGGCGUUGAAAGACAAUAUUGACAAGACUUAGCGUCUGUUUUUGAGAACAAUUGCAUGUAGUUUGAAAAACGUGUUUUCUGCAUUUCCAUACACCAGUGAACAAAUUGGAAGCCCCUCACGAUUGUGGAUCAUCCUUGGUGCUGCCCCUCAGUCACACCUACAGCUUUCAGCCUGAUGAAUGAUUGUGCAGCCGGUGUGGCAAAUGUAGAGGCGGAGCUGUCCUGCCACAUCAAUCAGUUAUAAUACUCUGCAAAAUAGUAAGUACUUAGCCAGCAAACUAGAAGCAUAUCCAUUUAGCUUAGUUGGUAAGUAUGAGGGUAUAAAAGAAGAGUCAUUAAAAUAUAUUCACCAAAUUCACUUAUUGGCAACUUAGACCCUUCAGUCACGUACCCAUGUACCUCAGGCAACAAAAAGCCUGAGGGUGGGGGAGGGGGGAAACCCACUCCCCUUACCACCCUGUUGAGCACUUAGCUCAAGUUGUUUAAAAGUAUUCAGGUUCAACAUUUUGCAUCAUUUGGAAGCUCAAGUAUACUUAUAGCAGCACUUCCCACCAAAAUUACAGAGUAAGAGGGGUUAUCAGCUGCAUGAUGAGAAAAGAGUAGACAGUAGGGAGAGAGUCAUAUAGAGGUGGUGCCUUGACUAGAGUAGUCACCUUUGGUGAGGAAGCUGGAGAAGAAAGAUAAUACAAGGAAGGUGUCAGGGAAAGAAAUACCCUUAGUUCAUUCUCCUUCUUUCCCUAGAUCUCCUGUUGCAGCUUCCCUCUGGUGGGAUCCAACAAAAAGGCAGAUGACACAAGAGCUGAGUUGAUGUAACCUGUCCAAGUCAGCCUCCCGAGACAUAUAGCAGAGUGACGGGUAGAGACGUGAUCUGGAAGGGCAGACAGAAGAUAUUCAACCCAUUGUCCAUUCUGUAUUUAUAGAUACAUUAAACCAUCUCUUAUCCUUUUGAAGUAGAGAAGUUGUAAGUCCUAAAUUCUGCAUUGAAGUAUACCAAAGUAGGAACAACACAUUGUCUUACUUAACUUUAUCUUCUUUUUCACCCAGCAUAAAGGUUGAUGUUCAGGGAAAAAAUAAAUAAA
rnacentral:lncRNA from 1 species